rnacentral:lncRNA from 1 species
UCUCGAUAUGGCAAGGUUCAAUAAGACAAUCUUUCACAAUGCAAACACAGACCUAAUAUGAUACAUAAAAUUUCAGCUACAUAGAAGGUUGGUUCCAAACUGAACCAAGAAAAAAAUAAAAGAAAAACUCAAUAUUAUUUAAACAUCAUUCCUCAUUUACUGUCUUUCACUCCAAAGGGUUCUAAAAAUCAUACAAAAUUUGGUUUGCAUAUAUCACCAAGGCCACGAAAUAUCCCUCCCCGAGAACACCACAGAAGCAAAAGGAUUGCUCACUCAGCAACCUUAUUGUCCACAUAUUUCAAAGAACAUCAUGGCUUGCCUCACGACGCUUAGUUAAUGCGAUCUCCAUGUGCUGAAUGAAAAAACUGUUUUUAUCUCUGCAUUAUGGAUUAAAUUUAAAUGACAUGAUACAUCUCAAAAGUUUCCUCUUAUAGGAGUACCUUCCUGAAAUUAAUUUGGAUACUAUCAUGUUUGUCAUUAAAGGCAAGUAAAGAAGAGAUAAAUAUACAAGUUUCUCAAAGAGCCUUUGACAUUUCUCCUGGAGGCGUUUUUAAUGGCUUUACAGCAAAUGACACAUACCGCUUGGAUUUGUUUGGGUUUAAUAAUCCUGCAUUAUGUGAUAAAAACAAAAUUAAUCUUACUGUUUCUCAAAGAGCCUUUGUCACUCAGGAACUUCAAAAUAUACACCCAAAGGAUGAAACAAACUUAAUCUAUUGUUUCUUCGUACAUGUGUAUAUAUAAUUCACAGCUAUAGAAAUUCAUAAUGGAUUAAAAUACACUAUGACCCUAACCAGACAAAUCAUAAACACUGGGGCAAUAUUUCUUUUUCCUUACCUUGAUACCUUAGCAGCCAAAUUACUCUUCCUCUGCAUCCAAGUUGCAACCACAACCUACAGAAACGAAUCACGUUAGUCCUACAGUCCUCGUAUCCCAUAUAACUAUAACUAAAGUUUAUUUCUAAUGCCGGUGAAGUUUAAGUUCUCAAGCUUAUAGUGACAAAGCAAAAACAUCAGCAUCCUUCAACUGGUUACCUUUGUAGUUAAGUAGAGAUGAUUUUGAAAACAAAAUGUGGGAUGUUGUAUCUGGGCCUCACCCGAACACAAGCCAUUUUUUUCUCUUCCAAAAACUGUAUAAAUUCAACAACCUGCAAAGAAAAUGGGGUCAAGGAAGAGACAACUUAAUCAAAUGGGUUGCUGCUUAUAUAAGAAAUAAGCUUCAAGGUAUGUGGAGUCCAUUUUUUUUAAAGCUGGAACACAAUUAUUUAUUUGCAACUCCAGUUAGAACCCAACUGGAUGUAAUAAAAUUUCUAAAGAGAAAAACACAUUAAAAUUGACCAAAGAACCAGAAUUGAGCAUAGCCCGAGUGUUGCAUGUUCGAAAGGGUAGUCAUUAAGACUCUAAGGUAGACCCCUCAUGAAUCAAGGCCCACACAAUAGUCAAUUUUAGUAGAAGCGUAUAGAAAUCCUAAUUCUACUUAGUCAGGUGGUAUAUAAGCGUAUAUAAAUGCAUGUAGCUCCUUGCUUGUAAUCACCUUGAGUUGAAGAAAUAUAAACAUAGCUUGUAACUAUCAUGACUUGAAGAAAUUUGAAUAACAGGCAGCUUACCUGCCAAUGGCUAUAAAAUCAGCUUUCAUAUACGUGUUUCUUGCUAAUCCAUUAAUCAAUCUAGUGAUUCGAGCUAGCUUUGACUACCUACGCUACUAUAAGAUCAUUCCUUCUCAAGGCAAGUCAGGUUUCCUAUGUGCGCGUAUUGCUGUCUGCCGAAGGCACCGCUAGGUGAAUUAUUGGUUUCAGAAUUUUAUACCCUGACAUGACCCUGUUUGUUAAGAGGGACAACUGAAACAUUGGUUCAUAUAUCUUGACCAAGGAUCAUCUUAGUAUCUGACAUGACCCUGUUUGUUCUGCACGCACAGCAGGAACAUGACGAAAACGUGAAGGAGAGGAUCGAGAUCGACGCACCUGUAACAUCGCGUACUGAAGUCAGGGUUAUGGCCCUCCC